GCUGCUCCUCCCGCUUCGCUCCGCGCUCUCCUGCCGCUCCGCUCCGGGUCUCCCGCGCUCCUCUCCCCGGCUCGGCCGAGCGCGCUGCCCCGACGCCGCCACCCAGAGCCGGACCGCGCCGGGCGCCGAGAUGAAGGUGCUGGGACACCGGCUGGAGCUGCUCACAGGCCUCCUGCUCCACGACGUGACCAUGGCCGGGCUGCAGGAGCUGCGAUUCCCUGAGGAGAAGCCGCUGCUCCGGGGCCAGGACGCCACCGAGCUGGAGAGCUCCGAUGCCUUCCUCUUGGCUGCAGACACAGACUGGAAGGCCUCGGGCGAGCUCACCACCCAGAUCCUUGCUGCCCAGGAGAACAGGGCACGGAGCCUGAGAUGGACCUAGUGUUCUGCUCCCCAGAGACCCGAGAGCCAAGCCCCAAACUGGUCGCCUCUGGGAAUGAGGGCCGGGUGGGUCUACAGGAGGUGGGCAUGUCAAUGUCAGCAACCUGCCUCCUAGCCCCGCUUCCUCUCCCUGGUGGCCUGGAGCCCCUGGCAGCAGGGUGAGGGUGGGGAGGGCAGAGCUGGUGUGUGCCUGACCAAACCCCUGGCCCUGCUAUCUGCCCAGGGCCCCUGGCCCCCAAACUCCACUUUCAGCAUGUGGGGAAGCCCCCUGCAUCUGCGUGGGCAAGGUGGGAUUUUCAUCCCUGGUGGGUGGAGAAGGAGCAGCCCCUUGAAGCAGGGUGAUAACCCAAGUUGCCCCAGAAAGCAGCAGCUCCCCAGGCCUCCUCAAGGUUAAGCGAUGGAACCUUCCUGAUGGGGAGGCUGGGUGUGGGGGUCUGGUCUCCAAGAUGCUGGGCUUGGGGCCCUCUCGGGCCCUCCAUACUCCCCAAGGUGUGGGUCAAGGGCUCUAGCUGUCUGGGCAGUGCCCAUGCGCCCUGCCCUGCCCCGCCCCGCAUUGGUGAGCUGUGCAUGUCCGUGACGACCCUGUGUGUACCUGACAUGGGUGAGUCUGUACGUGUGGUCUCGGCUCUUGUAUUCGGAGGAUCCCGUGUGAGCUGCAGCUGUUGGCGUGUGCCUAUGUGCUGGGGGCGGAUGCAGGGGCUGGGGACCAGCAAGGAUGAUGUGUGGCUGGGGUGGGAGGAGCAGGGACAGGGCUGGGGCAAGGAGGACUUCAGAAGCCAAUUGGAGCCAGGCUUGUCUCCCAGCAGCCAAUCUGGAAGCCGGGGCCCCGGGUAAGCGAGUGGCUGCUCAGAAACCCUGUGGGGAGGAGGGGCUAGCUAGGAUGGGCCAGGAUCCCGGUAUAAAUGGCCCGGGAGCUGUGCCCCAUCACAGAGCCGACCAUCUCCCACUCGAGCUGCCCCCGCCCUCUGGACCCGAGUGACUCAGGCCUUUGUUUGUCCUUCCUGGUAGAGGCGGGUUCCCUCCCUCGGCAAGAUGCCGGAGUGCUGGGAUGGGGUGAGUGAGGGCGCUGCGGGCAGCGAGGUGGGCCGGGAGGAUGGUGCAUCCUUACGACCCACCGCAGGGAGGAAGUGCCCCCUUCAACCCACAUCUGGUGGCAGCCCUGCCUUCAAUAGCCUCACCCUGGGGUCACUGAGACACGGCCAGAGGGCUCCAGGCUCCCUGGUGAUCCUGUUUGCAGGAGUGGCUGGGGGCAGCUGCUAGUCAGAGCCCAUAGCAGGGGCUGGGGGGAGCGUGUGGUUGGGGGGUGGGUGACAUAUCUGCAGGAAAUGGAACUUGGAAGUCACUGUCUGACUUGGCUGCAUUGCCCGUGUGGACCCAGGCGCCAGUGCCUGCACGUCCCUCUGACCGUGUGCCCUCUGGUGUGCUCUUGGAUGGUGUCUGCCUUGGUGGUGCCUGGGGCCAUCAGGCCAGGGGGCGGGGGUGUCCUUGGUGAGUCCCCGAGGCUGUGUGCCCAGUGUGCGUGCGGGGUCUGUGCGUGCAGGGGCUGCCGUCCCAGUCAGUGGGCGGCCGUCUAGCUUGUUUGGAUGGCUGCGCCAGUGUGAUGGGAAGGACAGGCAGCCUCUUCCGUAGAAGCUGCCUCACAGUUCCCAGGGCUCUGCUGCGCCAGCUGGGCAGAGGCGAGGAGGUCUGGGCCACACAGGAAUGACAGCCUUCAGGCAGGGGUCCCUGCUGGGGAGGAACGAGGAGGGGUUGCCUGCCUGCCUUAUUUUGUAGGUGGGGGAAGGCAACGCUGGAGCCGUGAAGCUGGCAGGGCUAGGGGACCCCAGGUGGAGCCCAGGGCACCUCCUCUCGCCGGGGCAUCAGGAACAUGACAUCGAGACACCCUACGGCCUUCUGCACGUAGUGAUCCGGGGCUCCCCCAAGGGGAACCGCCCAGCCAUCCUCACAUACCAUGAUGUGGGCCUCAACCACAAAUUAUGCUUCAACACCUUCUUCAACUUCGAGGACAUGCAGGAGAUCACCAAGCACUUUGUGGUGUGUCACGUGGAUGCCCCUGGACAACAGGUGGGGGCGUCGCAGUUUCCUCAGGGGUACCAGUUCCCCUCCAUGGAGCAGCUGGCUGCCAUGCUCCCCAGUGUGGUGCAGCAUUUCGGGUUCAAGUAUGUGAUUGGCAUCGGAGUGGGCGCCGGAGCCUAUGUGCUGGCCAAGUUUGCACUCAUCUUCCCCGACCUGGUGGAGGGGCUGGUGCUGGUGAACAUCGACCCCAACGGCAAAGGCUGGAUAGACUGGGCUGCCACCAAGCUCUCCGGCCUAACUAGCACUUUACCCGACACGGUGCUCUCCCACCUCUUCAGCCAGGAGGAGCUGGUGAACAACACAGAGUUGGUGCAGAGCUACCGGCAGCAGAUUGGGAACGUGGUGAACCAGGCCAACCUGCAGCUCUUCUGGAACAUGUACAACAGCCGCAGAGACCUGGACAUUAACCGGCCUGGAACAGUGCCCAAUGCCAAGACGCUCCGCUGCCCCGUGAUGCUGGUGGUUGGGGAUAAUGCACCUGCUGAGGACGGGGUGGUGGAGUGCAACUCCAAACUGGACCCGACCACUACGACCUUCCUGAAGAUGGCAGACUCUGGAGGGCUGCCCCAGGUCACACAGCCAGGGAAGCUGACUGAAGCCUUCAAAUACUUCCUGCAAGGCAUGGGCUACAUUGCAUACUUGAAGGACCGAAGGCUGAGUGGAGGAGCAGUGCCCUCGGCCAGCAUGACCCGCCUGGCACGCUCCCGCACUGCAUCCCUCACCAGUGCCAGCUCGGUGGAUGGCAGCCGCCCACAGGCCUGCACCCACUCGGAGAGCAGCGAGGGGCUGGGCCAGGUCAACCACACCAUGGAGGUGUCCUGUUGAAGCCCGCGAUCCCGCUGACGACGCCCACGUCGAGGCCCCACCGCCAUCCUUGCGCCGGCUCAUGUUCCCUUUAGUUUAUUUUUGUGAGGGCAAAGGGGAGGAAAUGGGGUUCUGUUUGAAAAAAAUGAGGGGAUCUAUCUUAGAUGCUGCAGCAGAACAGUCUCCGGGUGUUUUGAGGGGCUCACUCCUCCUCAUCCCAUCUCACUCUCCGUGGUAACUUGACCCCUCUCAUCCCACUCCCUGCGGCCCAGGCACAGGAGGGCAGGGCCAUAGGGAGGGAGAUUCGCUACGGAUCCAGGCCAUUCCUGGGUGAGCCCUCGGGCAGGCAUGUUUGGAGAUGAGAGAGGCUUCGAGAGGGUGGGUGCGGGGCCAGCUCAGGCACUGGCGUGGGAGCCCUGGGAGACCCCUUCCCCCACCCUCCACCAAGCACACCUGUUUCUGUCUCAUAGCACAUGUGACAAUCAUCUGGACAACAGCCACAAGGGGGUGCUCGGACCAGGCAGCCACUUUCCUGGUGCUCUCUGGGCCCAGCUGGUGCUGUAGGGCUAGGCAGGCAGGGGUGUCAAGGGGUUUCUCUGCCCAAGGAAGACAGAACAUGGAGAACCGUGAGGGCAGGAACCCCACAGACUGUCCCUUCCAGCCCACACUCUGCUAUCUCCUGGCCCUGUCCCAUUUCUGAGCCAAGGCCUCCCCGAGGCAGAAGUUGCCUGGUCCUCUGUCCCCACAGUGACCUGACUGGGGGUGAGGGAGGAGGAGGAGAGAGCCCAUGUGUGAUGUGUGUGUGCCCCUGAGAACUUCGUGGUGACUGCCUUUGGGAGCCCGCAGGUGGCCAGAGGCAGGGGUAGCUGAGUUCCUGGAGACCCCUUUUUUGCCCCCAGGUUCCCAAGAGGGCAACGCCAUCAGUAGCAGUAUGGUGUUUCAGGCAGAGCUCUGGCCAGGCUGUGCCAGUGUGUCCCGGAAGCAUCACUAAGGAAGACAGAGUUUUAGUCAACUGGCCCAAGGCAGCGAGGCUUCCACAGUCCCACCCCCCAUAGCCGCCUGGGCUGGGGCUUACUGGGGGCUGAAUGUUCUGGACAUGAACAAGGGUCAGGUAGAGGAGAAAGGCUUCCCCUACACUGCAGCCUCCUGCUGUCCCCUGAAGCUCAGGACUGCGAUGUAUGCUUUCCAACCACUCACCUUACCCCAUAGCAUCUUGUGGCCCAGAAACCAGAGCCAUUUGUCUCGGACCCUAAAUCAAUGGUCACAAACCCCAAAACAGAGAGGGGAGAGAACAGUGAAAACAUGAAGGGCUGUGGAGGGGGGAAGGGUUGUGGCGGGUGUUCUGAGGCUGAGAGGACACCUAUAUGCGUAUUUCCUCUACACACAUCACCCCCCUUCUAUAAUCUUAAGCCAUGACUAGCCUGGUGGCGUGUUAGUUUCUGCCCAGUUCUACCCCCUCAUGUGCUUCUUCUGAAUACUGAAUGUGACUGUUUGAAAACUGGUAGAAUUCAUCCCUCUUACUGUAGAUAGCACUGCAAAUCUUGGAAUUUUGUUUUUUUGCUGUUUCCAGAUAUAUCUAUCUAUAAAUAUCUAUACAUUAUAUAUAUAUGUGUGUGUGUGUGUACAUCGGGUCCUCCCAUGUAUGGUGUUCCUCCAGAGAUUGUCUCUUUGGUCAAGGUGAACUUUUAAUGUUUAUUAUUUUCUUCUCCGCACAAAGUAAAGAGCCUAAUUUUGUGUAUUCUGGUGGCUGCUGUCAUGAGAUGACAAAAUGUAAAACAAAACUCUAGUCAACGUAGAAAGAGUUAACUGUGCUGAAAAACUAAUAAAGAACCUAAGAAG
rnacentral:sRNA from 1 species